CCUGGCACCUCUGACAUGAUCUACUCCCUGGCUGCUGGCCCCGGAUCAGGGAGGGGCCGGGCCUCCAAGUCCAGCCAGAAACCUCCCACUUGUCAUUCCUAGGUGGUGCUGAGAUCAGAGCAUGGAUCAGAGGGUGCCUGAGCCUCCCUGCUCCCCAGGACAGGGAGAUGGGUAGGAGAGGCCUGCCCCUCCCCACCACCCCUCAUGUGGCUCUUCUGGGCCUUCUUUGUGUUGGUUCGCCCCCUGGGGGGGCCCCCUUUGGGGCUCCCCGGCUGCCCUCCAGAGCCCCUGGAGGGACUUGUCGCUAUCAUGGAGGUCCUAGGUAAUAAAAACGAUGGGACUCUUUAUACUCCGGACAAUCUCUCUGUGUGCCCUAUGGAGAUUCUGCACUGCUUUGGGGUGGAGCUGUCCGUGAUUGGGCAUGAGGAGGGUCCACCAGCAGUGAUGGCCGUGAAGCGGCUGCAGCGCUCAUUGAGAGCCCUGGGGCCCUACCUGUGGGGAGCCAGGGCAGGAGCCGCCUCAGGGCCCUGCCCCCCCUGUGAGAGGUACCCCGAGAGGCCUGUCCUCCAAUUCUUGGCCAAAUUGCUGGAGCUAUUGCAGGUAGCCUGUGCUGGAGACCAUCAGGCUGGGUGAAGGGGGUGUCAGAGCCCUCCCCAACCCUCCCCAAUGCACUAGCCCUGCAGGUCCCAGGAGACAUUCCCAGGCUGCAGCCUUCUAGACACCCAGAUUUCUGGGCUUCCCUGUUAGCACUCCCACAUCUGGAAUGCCAGCAGGCCCUACAUUGGGUGGGAACGAGGGAAGACGAGGCAAAUAUGGUGAUGAUGUUGCUGUCAGCUGCCGUUCUCCUCACCCCAAGGCACCUUCCACCUUCCAUCGGCAGGAUUCCUUAAGUUCCGCUGUGCCCCCACCCCUCCCUAGGCCGUGUCUAGCCCCUGGCACUUGGCUGGGCACUGAGUUGACAUUUAAGUGUUUAUCGAAUAAAUGAAUGAAUAUGAAGGA